UUGAACGCUGGCGGCAGGCCUAACACAUGCAAGUCGAGCGGAUGAGAGGAGCUUGCUCCUUGAUUUAGCGGCGGACGGGUGAGUAAUGCCUAGGAAUCUGCCUGGUAGUGGGGGAUAACGUUCCGAAAGGAACGCUAAUACCGCAUACGUCCUACGGGAGAAAGCAGGGGACCUUCGGGCCUUGCGCUAUCAGAUGAGCCUAGGUCGGAUUAGCUAGUUGGUGAGGUAAUGGCUCACCAAGGCGACGAUCCGUAACUGGUCUGAGAGGAUGAUCAGUCACACUGGAACUGAGACACGGUCCAGACUCCUACGGGAGGCAGCAGUGGGGAAUAUUGGACAAUGGGCGAAAGCCUGAUCCAGCCAUGCCGCGUGUGUGAAGAAGGUCUUCGGAUUGUAAAGCACUUUAAGUUGGGAGGAAGGGCAGUAAGCUAAUACCUUGCUGUUUUGACGUUACCGACAGAAUAAGCACCGGCUAACUUCGUG
rnacentral:rRNA from 1 species